rfam:Tupaia chinensis contig179687, whole genome shotgun sequence.
GCUUGUGAAAGAAAUCUGUGACAUAUGUCAACCUAUUGAUUAUCAGGAUUGAUUCAGGUGAUUUCACUGACUAAGCAAGUGUCUCCUUGCACUUUCAUAACCACUCCAUGUGUGUCACUCCCAAAGCUGUACAUUUUUUCAAAGAGAUCAAAUAUCUUUAAAUAGCAGAGGACCAUUGUUAGCUCAAUAAUAUACAAGUUGCUACACUCCCCUGCUAGAACCUCCAAACAAGUUCUCAAAGUCUAUUUAUAGGACAAUGUAGAGUAGACAUACUCCCAAGACUCCAGUCACAUUCAAAUGAGGAGGUACAUGUGAAAGUCUGCUUUUCUAA